UACGUAGGGUGCGGGCGUUAAUCGGAAUUACUGGGCGUAAAGGGUGCGCAGGCGGCGUCGCAAGUCAGGCGUGAAAUCCCCGGGCUUAACCUGGGAAUGGCACUUGAAACUACGAUGCUGGAGUAUGGCAGAGGGAGGUGGAAUUCCACGUGUAGCGGUGAAAUGCGUAGAGAUGUGGAGGAACACCGAUGGCGAAGGCAGCCUCCUGGGCCAAUACUGACGCUCAUGCACGAAAGCGUGGGGAGCAAACGGG
rnacentral:rRNA from 1 species